rnacentral:tRNA from 1 species
GCAGUGGUGGUUCAAUGGUAGAAUUCUUACCUUCCAUGCAGGAGACCUGGGUUCAAUUUCUGGCCGGUGCA